UUUCUAGGUUUUACAGGGACAACACACAUUGGCAUCAGGAGUGUUGGUUCCAGAAGACCGCUUGAGAAUUAAAUAUGUGCUCUACUGUGUCAGUGUCACCUAGGAGCUCUACUUAAGAGAAAAAGUGGAAGAAGAGGAGUAGAAGUGGAUUACAUUUUUAAAAUUAUCAUCAACACAAAUUGAGUCUCAGGUGCUCUUUUUCUCCUUCUGCUUCCUGACACGUGAUGACUACAUCUGCAAGCGUUGGAGUCGGACAUCCUAAGCCUGAGCCCAGACUUUGCCACUUGCCAGCGUGUUGGAGCUAGAUUAACCUUCUUUAACCCUCAGCUCUCUCAUCGAGCUGGAGAAUGGCCUCAGGUUGGAGGUGGAAAAGACUGGAAUGUGGUUUUAUGCCAGGCUGUGAGCUAUACAAGCCACUUCACCAGGAAACCAUUUCCAAGCCACAUACCACUAGUAAUUAAUGCUGUAGUCGUGACACUUCCGUAAGUGGGUUACAGAUUGUUGCUGUGGUGUGUACAAAGCUUAUUGGAUAAAUGUCUUUAGGAAAGGGGAAGGCAUUAGUCUCUUGGUGAUCAAUAGGAUAAUAAAUUGUGUUUUGUUUCUGUACCUGGAUUUAAUGUUUACCUUUCAAAUAAACGCUAGCUUGCUCAUUGCU